rnacentral:misc_RNA from 1 species
ACACCCCUCAAGCCCCCGGGCUUGGUGUUGGGGAUCGGGAACAGCGGAUCGGCCCCCCGGGGCCGCGAAGCCCCCGUCCCCCAAAUGCAUCGGCGGUCACGCCGCGGCCUCUUGCGCGUAGUAGCUAACACCUCGCACCGGAGCCCGUCGUGGUCCACGCCGCUAAACCCCCGACUUUUUACA